CGUAACACGUGAACAACCUGCCCUCGUGUGGGGGAUAGCCAUGCUAACGCGUGGGUAAUACCGCAUACGUUCUCGAGGAGGAGUCUUCUUGGGAAGAAAGCUCUGGCGCACGGGGAGGGGUUCGCGGCCUAUCAGCUCGUUGGUGCGGUAACGGCGCACCAAGGCGACGACGGGUAGCUGGUCUGAGAGGAUGGCCAGCCACAUUGGGACUGAGAUACGGCCCAG
rnacentral:rRNA from 1 species